GGUCCUUGAAGAACAGUUGUAGUGGUCAGUGGCCAUCGCUCUAUUUUUAUGUUUGUGAUAAGUGGGCAGAGUGAGGACCUAGAGUGUCAGCCAGAAGAGGUGAUAGGUAGAGCUUUCUACACUUGUCCCCUGAUUUUAUGGCUAAAGUGAUGAUCGCCAAAGCCAAACAACACUUUGAGCUUUAGGUGCCACUGGGAUCAUGGACUGAAUUUUAGGGCGGAGAUGGGAAGAGCA